UAGGGAAUCUUCCACAAUGGACGAAAGUCUGAUGGAGCAACGCCGCGUGAGUGAAGAAGGGUUUCGGCUCGUAAAACUCUGUUGUUAAAGAAGAACAUAUCUGAGAGUAACUGUUCAGGUAUCGACGGUAUUUAACCAGAAAGCCACGGCUAACUACGUGUCAG
rnacentral:rRNA from 1 species